GCAGGAGCUCGGCGGCUCAGCACGCGUCGCCUGGGCCGGCUGGGCUCCUGGCUUCUCUGUCUGCAAUGACAGCGGGUCCCGGAGGAACUGCCCUUGGGACAAACUCGCUAGGGCCACCUUUUUGUAAACUCGUUACGCCAUCUGGUGGCCAGAUAAACCAGAAGCAUGCAAUUACAACGGUACCGGGCUCAGCCGGAGUUCGCGUGUUUAGCCACGGUGCCUGUGUUCUUCACAGGGCCCUUCCCAUCCCCUCCGUCUGCUCCCCGCC
ensembl:lncRNA